UACUUUAAAUUUUUAAGUUUAAUUGUCCAAACAAAUAGACAGUUUUUAAUCUACUUGUCCAAAAAAAUUAGAAGAGGAAAAAGAGGGAGAAUGAAACCCUAGAUCUACGCCACUGUAUUCAUUUUGUCACCGUCAAGCUUGCUAUAGCUACUGAGAUCGGAGGGAGAGUAACCGGCGACGUCCGCGAUGCCAUCCUUGCUGACAUCCAGGAGCAGGUUUCCAUCCUCAACUCCACUUUCUCAUGGAAGGAGUCAGAUCGAGUCGCCGCCACGCGCGCCAUUCACGCGCUCGCCGAUCUUGCCAAAAACGAGGAAGUGGUGAACGUGAUUGUCGAAGGAGGAGCUAUUCCUUCGUCGCGUCUCCUAAGGUCACGACACGAGUUGUUUAUCUAACAUUGAAUGCCAUAUUUCAGAAACUAGUUAAACCUAUGAGGAUUGAGCGGUAGGCCGUUGUAAACUUCUUAGCUCGCUGUGACACACAUUUUCUGUGUAAUACUAUCAAGAAGUGUGCUAAAAUGAAGGGGAUUGUAAGAGUUUUAUGGCUAAUUUAGUCUUUAUUUAAGCCUGUUCCUUCCAAUGAUGGUAGCAAAUAUGAAGGUAUCAUCAGGGAACUAUUUAUGGACUAGAUGAAUUUAAUUAGCCUCAUGCCGUAAAAGAAUAUGCUUUUGUGGUUUGGUGAUCUUAAUGACUUGAGGAUUCUACCAGAUGCAGGCCAAGAUCUUUAUAUUAGAGUUCCUGCUUCAAAGUUAGAGACAAAAAAUGGAUGCAAGGGCAAGAUAUAAAUUGCAGUUUGGGUCACAAUUGGCGUAUUAUGUGUACCUCCUCCAAAGAAGGAGACUUUGUCUAGACACUCAUUCUUAGGGCCAAGUUGUCUUCGGGGCCAAUGGCUUGGACCUAGUGCAGAAAUUAAGGUUCAAUAUCCAAGCAGUACUGAUCUGACACACAUAAAUGAUUCAAGCUUGAAUCAGGCUGGGCAAUAUGAUCUUGUGGCAAUUAAAGAAUUGGAUCAAGGACCAGCUGCAUCCACAAUGAACUCGGUUCUCUCAUUGGAUGACGGAAGAUGGUGGCAUCCUGCUGUUGAGUCCUGUUCUCCUGUUGUAACUGAAUCAAGGGAGGACUCCUUCUAGUUGCUAAAAUAGCCUUUGCCACCUCUUGUUCUUGCUCAGGUGUAUCCUGAGUCUUCUCCCAUUCCUCCUUCAAAAGUUGCAGAUCCAAGGCCUGGACCAGCUAAAUCUUCUCAGGAUUCUGGACCUGGUCCCAGUACAUACCAACACCUACAUAUUCCUGUGAAAAUGAUGGAAGAUUUUUUGAGACUGGCUUUCAAAAACACACGAAAAAACUUAGAGACAUGUGGUGUUCUUGCAGGCUCCCUGAAAACAUGGUUUUCCAUAUCACUACACUUAUUAUCCCAAAGCAGGAGUCAACUUCAGACUCGUGUCCAACAUUGAA